AAACACCCGUUUCAAAGAACCAACCUGUGUUGGUGUUGUCAUGAAGAGAGCUACAUUUACUUAACGUGUUAGCUAGGUGCUAGCUGGCUAGCUAGCCAACCAGAUGUUGGCUGACAUAACUAACUGUGCGUAAGUUAGUUGACUGAAGUCGAAAACACGCUCUGCGUUGUAUUACCCAUUUGUGAGGAUGCCUUCCCUCUACUCUGCUGAGCCCCUGCCGCCUCACUCAUUGGGGCUCUUGAGAGAGCACCUGCAGCCCUGGGAGGAGGUAGGAGAGCCUCUUCCGCCAUCCACGCUCGCUGACUGGGUGCCACCUACACCGGCACCACGCACAAGAGCUCCUGGACAGAUCCUCAGCCCGGAGCCCCCAGUGCCAGUCCCCCGCACCAAAGCCUCCAGUACAGAUUCCAGUACAGGUGCCACCUACUGCUCCGGCGCCACCUGCUCCUCCGUCGCCCCAUUCUGCUUCAAGGGCGGAGCCUCCCCCCACUGUCUCAUUAGCUUUUUGUUUGUGCCAUUGCUGCCCUUCAGUUUAUGGUUGUACCUCUUUUGUUGUUUUCCUUUCUUUUUGUUUAAGAUUAACAUUAAAGGAUGUCCUCUUGCUCUGCUCCAUGUGUCCUGCCUCAUCUCAACUGUGUCAAUAUCCAACAGCAUUUUUAAAAUAUAUUUUACAGAGUAAUCAUUUGAUCCAGUCAUCAAUGUUUUGUGAUUAUUAAUGACAUAAUGUUUGCUAGCAUUUCAUUAAUUAUUUCAAGAACUUAAUUUAACUCCACACCAUUUAAAGUAAUGGUCCAUUUUAUAAUUGACAUAGUGGUGUUAUGGUUUAAUAUUUACUAAAUUAAAAUUAACGAUUCUAAAUUCAUGCUUAUUAUUUUAUUAAAGUUUGCUUUGUGGUACCUACAAAUCAAAAUGUAGUGGAGAAAAAGUAUUCACAUACUUCUAUGUAUUUCCUUUGUGAAAGGCAUUGCUUAUCCGAGUGGUUGGAGUUGUAAAAAGAAGAGUAAGAGCCAGAAGGGAAAUACAUUUUCUCUUUGUUAAGGCAUUACAGGAAGUUGGUUGGUUGCAGUUGUCUUUGUAUGUUGUAAAUACAUUUAAAGUAAGUGUUAAUUCUACAUUUUGAUAUAAGAUGCAUGUUUUGCUUAAAUAAAAUACAUUUUGACAUUUAAAUUCUAACAGUUGUACCGAGAUGCAGUGAGGGUCAUCCCCACUGCAGCCUCUGUGUGUUUUAUGCAGAAUAAAAGUACUGGUCAUUUGCUUGGAAAUAGGAGGGAAAUUGUUCUUUUUUUUCCAUCCUGACAAAUAAAGUGCUACCGAAAGUU